CAAUGAAGGAAGCAUGGUAAUGUGCACAGAAAAUGAUUUGGGUAUCUAGGCCUGCCCUCUCUGAUGCCAUUUGCCUUUGAUUUGGGGGCAUAGUUUUACAACAAAACA